rnacentral:rRNA from 1 species
GACGAACGCUGGCGGCGUGCUUAACACAUGCAAGUCGAACGGAAAGGCCCUGCUUUUGUGGGGUGCUCGAGUGGCGAACGGGUGAGUAACACGUGAGUAACCUGCCCUUGACUUUGGGAUAACUUCAGGAAACUGGGGCUAAUACCGGAUAGGAGCUCCUGCUGCAUGGUGGGGGUUGGAAAGUUUCGGCGGUUGGGGAUGGACUCGCGGCUUAUCAGCUUGUUGGUGGGGUAGUGGCUUACCAAGGCUUUGACGGGUAGCCGGCCUGAGAGGGGGACCGGCCACAUUGGGACUGAGAUACGGCCCAGAGUCCUACGGGAGGCAGCAGUGGGGAGUAUGGCACAAUGAGCGGAAGCCUGAUGCAGCAACGCCGCGUGCGGGAUGACGGCCUUCGGGUUGUAAACCGCUUUCGCCUGUGACGAAGCGUGAGUGACGGUAAUGGGAAAAGAAGCACCGGCUAACUACGUG